GGCACUAUAGCCAAGUGGUUACGGCGACAGUUUCGAAUCAGGAUUUGGUCCUGCCUAAGCUGUUCCUCUUUGAGGGCGCAAGUUCAAAUCUUGCUGGUGUCG